GAGUUUGAUCGUGACUCAGAUUGAACGCUGGCGGCAUGCCUUACACAUGCAAGUCGAACGGCAGCACGGGAGCUUGCUCCUGGUGGCGAGUGGCGAACGGGUGAGUAAUGCAUCGGAACGUAUCCUGGAGUGGGGGAUAACGUAGCGAAAGUUACGCUAAUACCGCAUAUUCUGUGAGCAGGAAAGCGGGGGACCUUCGGGCCUCGCGCUCUUGGAGCGGCCGAUGUCGGAUUAGCUAGUUGGUGAGGUAAAGGCUCACCAAGGCGACGAUCCGUAGCAGGUCUGAGAGGAUGAUCUGCCACACUGGAACUGAGACACGGUCCAGACUCCUACGGGAGGCAGCAGUGGGGAAUUUUGGACAAUGGGGGCAACCCUGAUCCAGCCAUGCCGCGUGAGUGAAGAAGGCCUCGGUUGUAAG
rnacentral:rRNA from 1 species